rnacentral:rRNA from 1 species
GGCGAACGGGUGAGUAACGCGUGGGCAACCUGCCCUCCAGUUGGGGACAACAUUCCGAAAGGGAUGCUAAUACCGAAUGUGCUCCCUCCUCCGCAUGGAGGAGGGAGGAAAGAUGGCCUCUGCUUGCAAGCUAUCGCUGGAAGAUGGGCCCGCGUCUGAUUAGCUAGUUGGUGGGGUAACGGCUCACCAAGGCGAUGAUCAGUAGCCGGUCUGAGAGGAUGAACGGCCACAUUGGGACUGAGACACGGCCCAAACUCCUACGGGAGGCAGCAGUGGGGAAUCUUCCGCAAUGGACGAAAGUCUGACGGAGCAACGCCGCGUGAGUGAUGAAGGUCUUCGGAUUGUAAAACUCUGUUGUUAGGGACGAAAGCACCGUGUUCGAACAGGUCAUGGUGUUGACGGUACCUAACGAGGAAGCCACGGCUAACUACGUGCCAGCAGCCGCGGUAAUACGUAGGUGGCAAGCGUUGUCCGGAAUUAUUGGGCGUAAAGAGCAUGUACGCGGGCUUUUAAGUCUGACGUGAAAAUGCGGGGCUUAACCCCGUAUGGCGUUGGAUACUGGAAGUCUUGAGUGCAGGAGAGGAAAGGGGAAUUCCCAGUGUACCGGUG